UGGGGAAUCUUGCACAAUGGGCGGAAGCCUGAUGCAGCGACGCCGCGUGCGGGACGAAGGCCUUCGGGUCGUAAACCGCUUUCAGCAGGGACGAGGCCGCGAGGUGACGGUACCUGCAGAAGAAGCCCCGGCUAACUACGUGCCAGCAGCCGCGGUAAUACGUAGGGGGCGAGCGUUAUCCGGAUUCAUUGGGCGUAAAGCGCGCGUAGGCGGCCCGCUUGGUCGGGAGUAAAAUCCGGGGGCUCAACCCCCGCACGCUCCCGAUACCGGCGGGCUUGAGUCUGGCAGGGGAAGGCGGAAUUCCGAGUGUAGCGGUGGAAUGCGCAGAUAUUCGGAAGAACACCGGUGGCGAAGGCGGCCUUCUGGGCCACGACUGACGCCGAGGCGCGAAAGCUAGGGGAGCGAACAGGAUUAGAUACCCUGGUAGU
rnacentral:rRNA from 1 species